GACGAACGCUGGCGGCGUGCCUAAUACAUGCAAGUAGAACGCUGAAGGAGGAGCUUGCUUCUCUGGAUGAGUUGCGAACGGGUGAGUAACGCGUAGGUAACCUGCCUGGUAGCGGGGGAUAACUAUUGGAAACGAUAGCUAAUACCGCAUAAGAGUAGAUGUCGCAUGACAUUUGCUUAAAAGGUGCAAUUGCAUCACUACCAGAUGGACCUGCGUUGUAUUAGCUAGUUGGUGAGGUAACGGCUCACCAAGGCAACGAUACAUAGCCGACCUGAGAGGGUGAUCGGCCACACUGGGACUGAGACACGGCCCAGACUCCUACGGGAGGCAGCAGUAGGGAAUCUUCGGCAAUGGACGGAAGUCUGACCGAGCAACGCCGCGUGAGUGAAGAAGGGUUUCGGAUCGUAAAGCUCUGUUGUAAGAGAAGAACGAGUGUGAGAGUGGAAAGUUCACACCGUGACGGUAGCUUACCAGAAAGGGACGGCUAACUACGUG
rnacentral:rRNA from 1 species